rnacentral:lncRNA from 1 species
AGAGCUUACAAAGAGCAAAAGAGAGAAGGGCAUCUGAAGAAUAUAUAGAAAAUUAAGAAUGAGUUCAACAAGCAGAGCAUGGAUGGUAGCAGCAAGUGUUGCAGCAGUUGAGGCCAUGAAAGAUCAAGGGUUCUGUAGAUGGAACUACACACUCAGAUCAUUACACCAACAAGCCAAGAACAGUAUAAGAUCAUCAGUUUCUCAAUCAUCAAAGAAGCUUUCCUCUUCUUCUUCUUCAUCUUCUGCUGCAGUGGUUUCAAGCAAAUUGAUGAGAGACCCCAAGGCCAAGCAAUCAGAGGAGUCUUUAAGGACAGUCGUGUACUUGAGCUGCUGGGGUCCUAAUUGACUGGUCCCCAUUCCCCAACGUGGUUUGGUGCUAAGAGAUCAGUUUCAUUUGUAUAUUGUAACAUUAGAAGAGCAAAUAUUGCUCUAUAAAUCACAUACUAAUUCGAAAAAUCUUUUGAAAAUUUUUUGUCCUUUUUGCUGUGAUUGAUGCUUGUUUAAGAUUUCAUCAAUCUCUGCCCCCGUAUAAUCUUACACUGGGGUACUAAAGCAAACAACAAGAUUAAGCUAAAGACUUCAAUUAUAAUUAUUUUACCUUUUAAUUUUUUAUAUCAUUUUUAUUUAUUAAUACUUUUAUGGGUUUUUUUUUUCUCCCUUUUGGGAGAAGGUCUGAAGGAUUUCUUACUUACGAUCUAUUGAACACAAACAGUCUAUUGGCUAUUGAUUACAUUUCUAAAUCAGCUAGACCCAGUUGUUUAACGAGUCAAAUCAAAGCUUAAGAACCUUUCUAUGUUCAUCUGUUAGUCCUAUAAAGAGUGGAAAUGCACAGAGAAAAUACGAAGAACCAUCAAGAUAUUAUAAAUUAAACUAUAUUUGCAGCAGAGCAAACCAGGAAAUAAUAAUGCAUGACCAUGGUAGGUGUCUUAGAAAAUAUAAAAAAUCAUAAUAGAGAGCAUAUUGAGAGAGUAUGCUCCCAAGAAUUAGGAGCAAGAAUGAAGAGAAAGAGUCAUGCUCUUUAUGGUAGGUGUCGUAGAAAAUACAGAAAAUCAUAAUAGAGAACAUAUUGAGAGAGUAUGCUUCCAAGAAUGAGGAGUAAAAAUGAAGAGCAAGAGUCAUGCUCUUUAAGGAGUAGAAACCAUGCCCUUAUGUUUAUUAGGGAGUAGGAACCAUGUUCCUCCCUAAGAACAGGGAGCAAAAUGAUGGUUUCUAAUAAUAGGGGAUAGUAAAAUAAGUCAUAGACCCUAACGCAUGGGAGGUUCUUGACCUAAAUUUAAAUCAUGGACCACAUAGAAAAGGUUAAGUUUAAAUAAAAGGGGCUAUAGUUGAAUAAACCCGGUCAAAUAAAAGUCAAUAAUGAAGAAUAUUAUUUGGUCCAGAAGCAAGUUAGUUAAAGUUCGACACAGGUAGGAUCAAUGAAAAGAUAAGGAAUAUCUUAUAAUUUAAAUCCUAAAAAACCUAAAAAAAUAAAGGAGAGUUAAGGUGAAUUUGAGCGAGAAAGGGAUUUUAUUUGCAGAGGACUAUAAAAAUAAAUGUCUCUCUUAGUAUGAGGGGGAGGCACUGAAAAAGUAGCGAAGAGAGGCAUAAUUGAAUUAUAAUUGUGAUUUUAAUAAAAAAUUUAUUUAUUCUGCCUGUGGACGUAAAUUAAAAGUUGAACCAUGUUAAUUCUUUGUGUUUGUUAUUAUAUUUAUAGUUGUACCAGACGACUCUUAAAAAAUUUGCAUACGGUCCAUGUAUAGCUAUACCAUAGCAAACAGUAGACGGCUCCUUGAAUAUGAGCAAACGGACUUUGCUUCGUAGAUGCUUGGUCAUAACACUUUACACCCCAAACAGCUUGUAAUGUAGGACAUCAAAAAGCUAAUUUUCUUUUUAUACCGACCAAGAUAUAUUUCACGAUUUGAUCAGUUAUUUCAGCAGUCCCAUUUGAUUUAUUUAUCAUAUAUCAUUUAUGUAGAAGGCUUUCUUAUAGUAAAUCUUUCCUAUGCUUUCCAAGUAGAAUGGUGAUAAUGUUUAUUUGUGUGUUCUUACUUGCUGUGAAAUGUUGACAGAUUUGCUAAGUUCUAAUAAGUUUAUUUUUUUGAUUUAUUAUUUAUUAUUUAUUGACAAUACUAAGUUUAGAUUCUUAGUGUGUGUGUAUUGAAUUUUUUAAAUUGGAAAGAGAGAGUUCAAGGGGAUCAUAUUGCUGAAUUUCAAGACAAAGCUUUAGUUACAAAAGGUGAGUUUAUGGGUACCUCGAUGGAAGAAGAAAAAUUUAUGUAGCGGAAUAAUAAUGAUCACAUGCAAUGACGUCAUACAAAUCCAGCACUAAUUAACCAAAAUUCAUUUUGGUUAAUUAGUGUUGGAUUUAUUUUUUUUCUCAUGUAUUUAGAAUAUUUAGUAAUAAGAGUAGGAUGAGAUAGUUUUAUUAAGGCAUUUGGGAUGUGUGAUGUGUGACGUGUGAUGUGUAAUGUGUAACAGUUGCCUUUAAUUUAGGAUAUUCAGACGAUAAGAAUAGUUGUUUAUUUUAUACUACUAAUGCUACAAGUAAAUAUCAAUGCGUAGAAUUGAAGCGUAACUAAAGCAUAUAAAAUUAAGAUUGAACCAUAAAUCAAGAUUGAAGCAUACAAAUCCAGAUUGAAGCCUUACAGUAUCAAAAUUAAAGCCUAAACAUCUGAAACCAGAAAUUUGAGAGAUUUUGAAGCCCUUAAAGAUUUUAAAUUUAAUGAAGUUAAAGUUUGAAGCCUUUGAUAUUUUUGGGGAAAAUUAUUUGUCAUGUAUCCUUAAUGCAGAUAUUCAGUUUGAUGCUAUGGGCUUCUGUAGCACAAUCAAGUCGGGCAAUAAUGCAUCUACUCAAGAGUACGCCACACAAAUCAUUGCAAAUGUGAGUACCAUAGUGAAGCCAGUUGAUGGGUCACCUUCUAAUUUGACUGAACUGUAAAUUACUACAAAUGUAUAAUCACCUGAUGAUCGUUCCAUGUAUUAUUAUUAUUUUUAAUAUGAUGGCAAUUAUGAUAUAAAAUAAUCUACUGAAUAAUUUUAUCAUUGAUAACAGUGCAUGGAAGUUUCGCCAAUUUACAAGGUCAUACACAACAUGUUGAAUGAAUCACGGAGAAACAAAUUCAAAAAUUAAUUUUAUAAUAAGUAAAAUUAUCUCUAUAUCACUUUUAUUUUGUCAUAUAUACAUUUAACUAUUAUAAAAUUUUGACAUAUUUUUUACACUAUCUUUACUUCUAAACUUAUAUCCUUCAAUCAUUUUGAUAUUAAAAAUUAUCAUUUUAUUACUAAAUGAAUUAAAAACUAUUUUAUUCUAUUAAAUUUUAAAAAAUAAAAAAAAAUUAUAAUUAUCUGCUGUACGGCCAAGGCGGAUGUACGGUACAGCAGUGAAAAAGUAAUUAGUUUNNNNNNNNNNNNNNNNNNNNNNNNNNNNNNNNNNNNNNNNNNNNNNNNNNNUAAUGGCUGCUGUACGGCCAAGGCGGAUGUACGGUACAGCAGAAAAAAAUUAUAAUUAUAAAAAUAGCCUAAAUUCAAAAAAAAUCUCAAAAUAUAAGAUGAUAAUUUUUAAAUGAAAUUAUAAUUAUAAAAAAUUAACUUCUUGUAAUUAUAAUUUUAUUUAAUUUUUAUAAUUAAAUUAGUAUAGAGAAGUUUACAAAAAUUAACAUAAAGAGAAAAACUCCUAUAAUUAUUAUAAACUUUCCCAUAAUUAAUAUCAAGAAAUUUCCCUACACAAAUUAAAUAAAGUUAUAAAGAUAAAAAAUUAACAUAACAAUUUUUAAAUGAACUUUUAAUUAUAAAAAAUAAUAUAUUAAAUUUGAGAUUUAUCAACUAAUCUACAAUUAAAGCAAUUUUAUCUAGUUGUUUACUUCACUGCAGAGCGACAGUUACGUUCCCCAGGCUUCCAAAAAUCCCAGGUGGUUUUCACUCCAAAACUCCGGGCUAAUUUGAAUUUUAGUAAGUGAAACCGCUAGCUCAGCUACCAGAAUUGUUCUGUCUCGAAGUGCCUAAAUCCCCAUUUCGUCCCCAUUUAGUUCGUGCUUUUGUAAGGACAUAAAAGUAAUUGUGCUCUACCAAAUAAUUGCCGCUAGCCAGACAGAGCCCACUGGUUUUGUUUAUUUCAUCUUUUUCCAUCUGUGUGCUCAAUCAACUAAACCACUAACCAAGUGUAUAUAAAUAUGAAACCCCCGCGUAUCGUUUACUCCAUCAAAGCAAAAGCAGAUCUUUUAAAAGAGUUCACAAAGAGCAAAAGAGAGAAGGGCAUCUGAAGAAUAUAUAGAAAAUUAAGAAUGAGUUCAACAAGCAGAGCAUGGAUGGUAGCAGCAAGUGUUGCAGCAGUUGAGGCCAUGAAAGAUCAAGGGUUCUGUAGAUGGAACUACACGCUCAGAUCAUUACACCAACAUGCCAAGAACAGUAUAAGAUCAUCAGUUUCUGAAUCAUCAAAGAAGCUUUCCUCUUCUUCUUCUUUAUCUUCUGCUGCAGUGGUUUCAAGCAAAUUGAUGAGAGACCCCAAGGCCAAGCAAUCAGAGGAGUCUUUAAGGACAGUCAUGUACUUGAGCUGCUGGGGUCCUAAUUGACUGGUCCCCAUUCCCCAACUUGGUUUGGUGCGAAGAGAUCAUUUUGAUUUGUAUAUUGUAAAUAUUGCUCUAU